GUCUAGUGUGGCCGAGUGGUCUAAGGCGCUGGAUUAAGGCUCCAGUUUCUCAGGAGGCGUGGGUUCAAAUCCCGCCACUGCCA
rnacentral:tRNA from 1 species